rnacentral:rRNA from 1 species
CUCUUCGGGGAUGAUUAAACCGGCGCACGGGUGAGUAACACGUGAGUGACCUGCCUUUUAGACUGGAACAACUUACCGAAAGGUGAGCUAAUGCCGGAUGAGUUAUAUAAGUGCAUGUUUAUAUAGGAAAAGUUGGGGAGACCUGACGCUGAAAGAUGGACUCGCGUCCCAUUAGCUAGUUGGUAGGGUAAUGGCCUACCAAGGCGACGAUGGGUAGCCGGCCUGAGAGGGUGGCCGGCCACACUGGGACUGAGACACGGCCCAGACUCCUACGGGAGGCAGCAGUGGGGAAUUUUGCGCAAUGCUCGUAAGAGUGACGCAGCGACGCCGCGUGAAUGACGAAGGCCUUCGGGUCGUAAAGUUCUUUCGACAGGGAAGAAAAUGCCUAUAAGUAACUGUGUAUGUAUUGACGGUACCUGUAUAAGCAGCCCCGGCUAACUCCGUGCCAGCAGCCGCGGUAAUACGGAGGGGGCGAGCGUUGUUCGGAGUGACUGGGCGUAAAGAGCACGUAGGCGGUGUUGUAAGUCAUUAGUCAAAGACUAGAGCUCAACUUUAGUAAGGCUAGUGAUACUAUAAUACUAGAGUAUCAGAGAGGAUUGCAGAAUUCCUGGUGUAGCGGUGAAAUGCGUAGAUAUCAGGAGGAAUACCGUUAGCGAAGGCGGCGAUCUGGCUGGAAACUGACGCUGAGGUGCGAAAGCGUGGGUAGCAAAC